GGGCCGCUGGGGCCCCUCACCUACACCAGCCCGGUGCCCCCCCACCGUAUCCCGGCCGGGGCGCGCGGCGGGCAGAGGCUGGACACAAAGCAUGGGCACUGCGCGACCCCGGGACCGGGGGGGGGGGGGGGGGGCCGACGCGCGACUCCCGGGGCCUGCGCGGGGUGCGCCGGCCCCAGCCUCGCGGAGCCCGCUGCUCCAGCCGCGCGUAUCUGGAUGGGGGCUCUGUGCGCUGGCUCGCGGCUGGGUGACCGCAGGAGGGUCUCUGGGGACCCUGCCGCCGCGGCUUGGGUCCCCGCCCCCCGCGCGCCCCCUGGCGGCCCCGAGCCCGCUCCUCGGCCAAGCCUACGGACUCCAGUCCCCGGGCCGGCGGGUGGCGACCGAGGGCAACCAGACCCCGGGCAGGCGGUGGAGUGAAAGCCCUGCCGCCCCACCUUCUUGCUGAUGUCUCUGCCAAGUGGAUCCGUUUCUGCCCUGACCAGAUGUCCGUAUGUACUCAGGAAACCGCCGUUCCACGUUCCGGAAACAGUGGUCUUUCUGGACAUGUGCACCUGCCAUGCUACCCUGUUCCUUCCCGUCCACAGCGAGCGGUAUCUGCUCUCCACACGGUGACCCUGUGAGCCGGGAUUUCCCCCUGAAUGACAGGGCCACUCCUGUGCCCACUGUUGUGGCAAACAUUCAUUUCAAUAUUUGCUGGACAAAG